rnacentral:rRNA from 1 species
CCUACGGGCGGCAGCAGUGGGAAUAUUGGACAAUGGGGGGAACCCUGAUCCAGCCAUGCCGCGUGUGUGAAGAAGGCCCUCGGGUUGUAAAGCACUUUCAGUGAGGAAGAACGCCUGGUGGUUAAUACCCAUCAGGAAAGACAUCACUCACAGAAGAAGCACCGGCUAACUCCGUGCCAGCAGCCGCGGUAAUACGGAGGGUGCGAGCGUUAAUCGGAAUUACUGGGCGUAAAGCGCGCGUAGGUGGCUUGAUAAGCCGGUUGUGAAAGCCCCGGGCUCAACCUGGGAACGGCAUCCGGAACUGUCAAGCUAGAGUGCAGGAGAGGAAGGUAGAAUUCCCGGUGUAGCGGUGAAAUGCGUAGAGAUCGGGAGGAAUACCAGUGGCGAAGGCGGCCUUCUGGACUGACACUGACACUGAGGUGCGAAAGCGUGGGUAGCAAACAGGAUUAGAUACCCCAGUAGUC